CCCCUGCCCCAGCCGCCGGUUCUGAGCUGGCCCCCGCUGAGGCCAGCGGCCAGGGGGGACUCGGUCGCAAGUUGACCUCAGAGCAGGCGUCGGCCACGUGGCGGUUCGGCGUGUGGCCUUUGGGGUCAGACAGGCCUUGGUGUAAACCCAGCUCUGCCACUGACCCGCUGAUUGCCUUUUGAUAAACCCCAGCUCCAGGGCGGCUGGGAGCAUGAGAGAUCGUGCCUGGCACACAAGAAGUGCCCUCCUGUCGAUGGUUAUUAGCUUUCGUGCAACAGAUAGGUCUUGGGCGAGGCCCUGGAGACCCGGGGACAAAUGAGACAGCACAGUUUCAAUUUCCCGCAUUUGUUCCCUCCACCUUCCCUCAUCGAGGCUGUUGGCUCUGUGCUCGGCGCUGGGCGUGAUCCUAAUUCUGAUGAGAGGUCGUAUUUCUUGAGCUCUCACUGCUCCAGGCGCUGCUCUAAGUGCUUAUAUGUGUCGUAAAUCACCACUCCUGCCCCCUGUCCUGUGAGGAAAGGAAGGGGACACCCAGAAGGUGGUAUGCUGGCAUUCAGAGCCAGGUCAGAGGCUGACUUGGAUACUCCACCGGCCAGAGAUGAGCUGUGGUUUGUGGUGAUGGUGGUGGGGAUGCGAGGUCCUAGAGGCAGACUCCAGAGCAGCCGGCCCGGAUGUGCUCAUCAGGCAGUCUGUGCCACCUGGUGGCACCCAGGGAAAGAUGGUCUGGGUACAGGAGGCCCCUGCUGGCCGAGGUCAGCGCUCCAGCAGAUGUGUCCCCUCUCCCAGGAUCCCAGGGACACAGAAGGGGCAAUUCCCAAACUGCCCUGUCCUUCCUGGGACAGACCCACGUACCCCAGCCUCCUCCCAAGGCUGAUCUUCUAGUCCCUUCUCCCUCUCUGGUUCCUCCCGUCCUGGCUUCCCCGUCUGCCUCUCUCCUGCCCUGGCCUGCAGUUCACAGAUCUCUCUCUCUGACUCCCUCUCUUGGCGUUUCCCUGCACCCCACAGAGGGAGGCAUAUUUUGCACAGAUGCGCCGGGCUCACCAGGUAGGCCAGUGAUCUGAGUGGUGUGAAAUGGAUAUGACACGGUCACGGUGUUUUUGGAUGCUGUCAGUCCCGCAUGGGGAAAUGCCCGGGCUCCAAGGAAGCGUGGAUCUGCAUGAACCCAGGCAGUGCCCGAUGGCCCCACAGUCAGGGCACCGGUGUGCCCCAGCCCUGCGGUGCCAGGAAUUAGAGCUAGGAGGGUGUGCACCCCAUCUGCUCUGUGGUCGGGUCCUGGUGCCUGCUGGCUGUGGCCAGAGUGGUGGCAGGGAAGCUAACUCGAUGCCAAACCACAUGACUAUCCCUUGCCCACCAGGUUACCCUAGCACUGCCUCCCAGCAAUCUCCAUUAACCCUCCGUGUGCAUAUGCCCCCUCGGUAGCCUGGAGUUAACCCCCGCGUGCCAGCCUGGAGAGGGGAGUCUGCAUCUUCCUCCCCAGUCAGUGUGGGCCUUUCUGGGGGCUCCCCGGGGCUCUGACGCUGGGGCCCGGGGAGGUCUGAGCUGGCCUGUGCCCUCCACCCAUCAGAACCGCACGUCCCUCUUAGAGGAGCAGUUGCGGAUGGCUGUGACAGCUGGGAGGACCAUGGGGCCUCCAGAGAGCAGGGGCCGGGCCCAGCAGCUAUCACAGGUAACUCAGGGCCUGGCCGGGACAGGCUGUGUCUGGGGCCCCGUGCAGACCAGAGAGUAUAGUUCAAGCAAGAGCCUUGAGCUGAGGCCCUGGCCUUCCUGAGCCAUUUGCCCCCAUCCCAGGCCCCAGCCUAAUGCCCAGGCCACUCUAGUGUUGCCCUUGGGAAACAUCCCAGAGCUGUGAAUGGCUUGGGCUGGUGCCAUGGGCGUGGGUGGUAAGUGAGGCCCAAGGAGCGGCCUCCCCAACCACAAAGGCCUCUUGGGCCGCCUCCAGCCACUCUGGCCUGAGCUGGACAGAGCCAUCUGCCUGUGUCUUGCCAGGGGGCAUCCUCGGCAUGGGCUUCUCCCCACAGUCACCUGGGCCCAUCCCAGGAUGGCCCCCGCCAGGUUCAUAAGGAGCAAGAGGACAUCAGGAACAAGGACCAGAAGGCCAGACACUUGUAAACAGUUAGCACAGAAGUAGGGGGCUCACUGGGCCUGGUGCGGCCUGACGGGAGGCAAGACGUCAUGGUGUCCUUUCUGCCCCUCUCUGCUCCUUUCCUCUGUCCUCCCUCUCCCGGCCCCCCAGGUGGAUGAGGCCCAGAGGCGGAUGGAUGCCGAGAUCUGGCAGCUCCUUUCCAGCUUUGCUGCCCACCCCCAGCCCCCAGCCCCGGGGCUCUUGCCCCAUCCCGAGCCUGCAGCUGUUCUGCAAGUAGCUCCACUUUCCUCCUCCUCCUCCUCCUCCUCAGCUUCUGUCCCUUUCUCAGCAGGUUCUCAGUUCUCUCUCUCCUAUGAAGGCUUCUCUCUGCUUCCUGGGAGCCUCUAUUAUUGGCAACUGCCCCAAGCCUUCCUGGGGAACAAGGUAACAAGGAGUUGGGGGGUAGCAGGGUAUCCGAAUCCCAAAGUAUUUGAGAGCCCUUUGUCAAAGCCCUUUAUGACCAGAAAAGGGGAAGGGACUUGCCUGGGGUCCCACGUGGGGCUGAGACGGUUUCACCCACAAGGCUUUACCGUAUAUCCAGAUCACUGACCUGGCCCUUGGCUUUGCAUGCAUUCCUUCGGGGAGCAUUAACUUAGCACUUCCUUUGCGCUGUGUUGUGUAUGGACAGAAGACGACCCUAGCCCCGCACAGCGCGCUGUUCAUCUGAUUGUCGUUCCUGUCAUCAGCAUCAUCAAUAUCAUUGCUGUUACCGUUGGCUUCCGUGUUAGGAUUGACAUCGGCUC